GGGGAUUUAGUUCAGUGGUAGAGCGUUCGCUUUGCAACCUCCUUGCUCUUCUGCGAAAAGUCGCCGGUUCAAUCCCGGCAGUCUCCA